UACGUAGGGUGCGAGCGUUGUCCGGAAUUAUUGGGCGUAAAGGGCUCGUAGGCGGUCUGUCACGUCGAAAGUGAAAACUCAGGGCUUAACCCUGAGCCUGCUUCCGAUACGGGCAGACUAGAGGUAUGCAGGGGAGAACGGAAUUCCUGGUGUAGCGGUGAAAUGCGCAGAUAUCAGGAGGAACACCGGUGGCGAAGGCGGGUCUCUGGGCCGAUACUGACGCUGAGGAGCGAAAGCGUGGGGAGCGAACAGG
rnacentral:rRNA from 1 species